UGCAGGAUGGCUCAGUUGGUUAGAGUUUGGUGCUGAUAAUGCCAAGGUUGCAGGUUCGAUCCCUAUAUGGGACAUCUGCAU
rnacentral:tRNA from 1 species